rnacentral:rRNA from 1 species
UACGGAGGGGGCAAGCGUUGUUCGGAAUCAUUGGGCGUAAAGGGCGCGUAGGCGGCCGCUCAAGUCGGAUGUGAAAUCCCUCGGCUUAACCGAGGAACUGCAUUCGAUACUGGGUGGCUAGAGUCCGGGAAGGGGUAGUGGAAUUCCCAGUGUAGCGGUGAAAUGCGUAGAUAUUGGGAAGAACACCGGUGGCGAAGGCGGCUACCUGGACCGGUACUGACGCUGAGGCGCGAAAGCCAGGGGAGCGAACGGG